rnacentral:tRNA from 1 species
GCCCACGUGGUCUAACGGCUUAUGACAUGUCCCUGUCACGGACAUAACCCGAGUUCGACUCUCGGCGUGGGCG